rnacentral:rRNA from 1 species
UACGGGGGGGGCAAGCGUUGUUCGGAAUUACUGGGCGUAAAGGGCUCGUAGGCGGCCAACUAAGUCAGACGUGAAAUCCCUUGGCUCAACCAAGGAACUGCGUCUGAUACUGGAUGGCUUGAAUCCGGGAGAGGGAUGUGGAAUUCCAGGUGUAGCGGUGAAAUGCGUAGAUAUUAGGAAGGACACCAGUGGGGAAGGCGGCUCACUGGUCCGGGACUGGCGCUGAGGUGGGAAAGCGUGGGGAGCAAACAGG